UACUUGGAGGCAGCAGUGGGGAAUAUUGGGCAAUGGGCGAAAGCCUGACCCAGCAACGCCGCGUGAGGGAAGAAGGGUUUCGGCUCGUAAACCUCUGUCCUAUGGGACGAAGGAAGUGACGGUACCAUAGGAGGAAGCCCCGGCUAACUCCGUGCCAGCAGCCGCGGUAAU
rnacentral:rRNA from 1 species